UACGGAGGGAGCUAGCGUUGUUCGGAAUUAUCUGGGCGUAAAGCGCGCGUAGGCGGCCUUGCAAGUUAGAGGUGAAAGCCCGGAGCUCAACUCCGGAACUGCCUUUAAAACUGCAUAGCUUGAAUCCGGGAGAAGUGAGUGGAAUUCCGAGUGUAGAGGUGAAAUUCGUAGAUAUUCGGAAGAAACACCAGUGGCGAAGGCGGCUCACUGGACCGGUAUUGACGCUGAGGUGCGAAAGCGUGGGGAGCAACAGG
rnacentral:rRNA from 1 species